rnacentral:sRNA from 1 species
AACCAAAGAUCAGGUACAGCACAAGCAGUAGCAGUGCAAGCCUCGCUUAUGUGCCUCCAGCACUGAAUGUGAGUGACCAGCACCAUGGCU